GUGUUAGUUUAGCAGCACAUAUACUAAAAUUGGAAUAGUACGAAGAAGAUUAGUAUGGCUCCUAUGCAUGAAUGACAUGUAAAUUCGUGAAGCGUUCCAUAUUUAA